CAGGACACACACCAGGCUGACUGUAAACCAUUUGGUACCCUGCCUCCUCUUGUUCUCCAGUCAGAAGGGACCCCUAGGUUGAACCAGCCACCACACAAGGAAAACUAAUCCACUGAAGACAAGGCAUGAACAUCGGAGUGGGGGCUGAACUGUCCAGAGGAGAAAGGCAGGCAGUAGAUGGAGACACUGAAGGAACAGAGCACCAUGGCCCUGAGGAGGAUGGCGAAGAGUCUCUCACCAAGCUUAGCUGGAGUCCUGCCUCUUCCUAGACAGCAGAGGGCUGAGCCUCACCUACCUAGACAGCAGAGG